UACAGAGGGUGCAAGCGUUAAUCGGAAUUACUGGGCGUAAAGCGCACGUAGGCGGCUUGGUAUGUCGGGUGUGAAAUCCCCGGGCUCAACCUGGGAACUGCACCCGAAACUGCCUUGCUCGAGUAUGGGAGAGGGAAGUGGAAUUUCCGGUGUAGCGGUGAAAUGCGUAGAUAUCGGAAGGAACAUCAGUGGCGAAGGCGACUUCCUGGACCAAUACUGACGCUCAGGUGCGAAAGCGUGGGGAGCAAACAGG
rnacentral:rRNA from 1 species